rnacentral:rRNA from 1 species
AUGCUAAAGGAUCGCAUUGCCUGGACCAUCACUUGCGUCUAUGGUCCUCAGGGUGAGUCAGAGAAGGUGGCUUUCAUUGAGGAGUUGAGGGCUCUCUCUGCCACGACUGGAAGGCAGUGGCUUCUUUUGGGGGAUUUCAAUCUGAUCACUAAAGCGGCGGACAAGAGCAACGCCAACAUCAAUCGCCGUCUCAUUGGGAAAUUCCGCGGGGCCCUUGACUUCAUGCAGCUAAAAGAGCUACGUAUGUGUGGGAGGCACUUCACCUGGUCCAAUGAGCAAGCAAAUCCGGUCAUGACCAAGAUUGACCACGUUUCCCACUCCGAUGACUGGGAUUUGCUCUUCCCAAAUGCGCAUCUCUAGGCCAUCUCAACGACCUGCUCCGACCAUGCCCCGCUAUUCCUUCAGGGGUGCGUCGACAAUGCGAGGAAGCCAUCCUUCAAGUUUGAGGAGUUCUGGCUGUGA